rnacentral:rRNA from 1 species
AGAACGAACGCUGGCGGCAGGCCUCAAACAUGCAAGUCUAGGGGGUGCAGCAAUGCAUCACCGGCGGACGGGUGCGUAACACGUGGGAAUAUACCUUUUGGUUCGGAACAACGCAGGGGAAACUUGCGCUAAUACCGAAUGUGCCCUUACGGGGAAAGAUUUAUCGCCAAAGGAUUAGCCCGCGUCCGAUUAGCUAGUUGGUGAGGUAAUGGCUCACCAAGGCUCCGAUCGGUAGCUGUUCUGAGAGGAAGAUCAGCCACGCUGGGACUGAGACACGGCCCAGACUCCUACGGGAGGCAGCAGUUGGGAAUCUUGGACAAUGGGGGAAACCCUGAUCCAGCCAUGCCGCGUGAGUGAUGAAGGCCUUCGGGUUGUAAAACUCUUUCGACGGGGACGAUAAUGACGGUACCCGUAGAAGAAGCUCCGGCUAACUUCGCGCCAGCAGCCGC